GACGAACGCUGGCGGCGUGCUUAACACAUGCAAGUCGAACGGAAAGGCCCUGCUUUUGUGGGGUGCUCGAGUGGCGAACGGGUGAGUAACACGUGAGUAACCUGCCCUUGACUUUGGGAUAACUGCAGGAAACUGGGGCUAAUACCGGAUAGGAGCUCCUGCUGCAGGGUGGGGGUUGGAAAGUUUCGGCGGAUGGGGAUGGACGCGCGGCUUAUCAGCUUGUGGGUGGGGUAGUGGCUUACCAAGGCUUUGACGGGUAGCCGGCCUGAGAGGGUGACCGGCCACAUUGGGACUGAGGUACGGCCCAGACUCCUACGGGGGGCAGCGGUGGGGAAUAUUGCACAAUGGGGGGAAGCCUGAUGCAGCAACGCCGCGUGCGGGAUGCCGGCCUUCGGGUUGUAAACCGCUUUCGCCUGUGACGAAGCGUGAGUGACGGUAAUGGGUAAAGAAGCACCGGCUAACUACGUG
rnacentral:rRNA from 1 species